rnacentral:tRNA from 1 species
UCCCUGGUGGUUUAGUUGGUAAAGAGUCUGCCUGCAAUGCAGGAGACCCAGGUUAGAUCUUUGGCCUGGGAG